UCUUACAGAUCAAUUGUUACUUAUAAUUGAAAUCAUUGUUUAUAACAUUCAGUAGUUUUAUCACCAGGAACACCUGUGUGAGAACUGAAGGUGAUAAGGAAAAUUUCAAUACAUCACUCCUUCCUAUUGUCAAGUGCAGCAUCUUGGCAUCAAUCAUCUUAGUGCAACUACAUAUUCUGGGAUCUGUUUGCAAUCAGGCAAAUGAAGCGACAAGGGAGACUUAGCGAAACAGUUCA
rnacentral:lncRNA from 1 species